rnacentral:tRNA from 1 species
GAGGGUAUAGCUCAGUGGUAGAGUGCAUGUCUAGCACACACGUGGCUCUGGGUUCAAUCCCUUGUACUUCCA